rnacentral:rRNA from 1 species
UACGGGGGGGGCAAGCGUUGUUCGGAAUUACUGGGCGUAAAGGGCUCGUAGGCGGCCAACUAAGUCAGACGUGAAAUCCCUCGGCUUAACCGGGGAACUGCGUCUGAUACUGGAUGGCUUGAGUUUGGGAGAGGGAUGUAGAAUUCCAGGUGUAGCGGUGAAAUGCGUAGAUAUCUGGAGGAAUACCGGUGGCGAAGGCGGCAUCCUGGACCAUUACUGACGCUGAGGCGCGAAAGCUAGGGGAGCAAACGGG